rnacentral:rRNA from 1 species
CCUACGGGAGGCAGCAGUGGGGAAUAUUGGGCAAUGGGCGAAAGCCUGACCCAGCAACGCCGCGUGAAGGAAGAAGGCCUUCGGGUUGUUAACUUCUUUUGACAGGGAAGAGCAGAUGACGGUACCUGUCUAAUAAGCCACAGCUAAUUACGUGCCAGCAGCCGCUGUAAUACGGAGGGCGCAAGCGUUAUCCGGAUUUACUGGGUGUAAAGGGCGUGUUGCCGGGCUUACAAGUCAGAUGUGAAAUCCGGGGGCUCAACCACCGUACUGCAUUGGAAACUGUUGGUCUUGAGUGUGCGGAAGGCAGGCGGAAUUCGUGGUGUAGCGGUGAAAUGCGUAGAUAUUAGGAAGAACCCCAGUGGCGAAGGCGGCCUGCUGGACGACAACUGACGGUGAGGCGCGAAAGCGUGGGGAGCAAACAGGAUUAGAUACCCUAGUAGUC